CCUACGGGUGGCAGCAGUGGGGAAUAUUGGACAAUGGGCGAAAGCCUGAUCCAGCCAUGCCGCGUGUGUGAAGAAGGCCUUCGGGUUGUAAAGCACUUUCAGUGGGGAAGAAAGCCUUGGGGCUAAUACCCUCGAGGAAGGACAUCACCCACAGAAGAAGCACCGGCUAACUCCGUGCCAGCAGCCGCGGUAAUACGGAGGGUGCGAGCGUUAAUCGGAAUUACUGGGCGUAAAGCGCGCGUAGGCGGUCUGAUAAGCCGGUUGUGAAAGCCCCGGGCUCAACCUGGGAACGGCAUCCGGAACUGUCAGGCUAGAGUGCAGGAGAGGAAGGAGGAAUUCCCGGUGUAGCGGUGAAAUGCGUAGAGAUCGGGAGGAAUACCAGUGGCGAAGGCGGCCUUCUGGACUGACACUGACGCUGAGGUGCGAAAGCGUGGGUAGCAAACAGGAUUAGAUACCCCGGUAGUC
rnacentral:rRNA from 1 species